AUACUGGUGACUUGAACUGGAAUGUGAAUGCUUUAGAGUAUGGAUUCAUUAGCAUUCCUGAUCAUGUGAGAAGUAUUACAUCUGGGACUCAGCCACAUUUGGGGGUAAUCUUCCCACAUUUCCAGUAAUCCUCUCUAUAAAGACAAAUGCAUCUAAAGCAAGACUGCAAAAGACUGGGUUGGAGCAAACAAGAGAGAAAAAGAAAGGCAAGACCAUAGUCAGAUAUGUCAGUCUGCUGCCUUUGUUGUGAUCUAUACAGCACAAGUAUGUCCUUGGAUUCAGUUUACAUAGAGAAGUAAAGGA